CAUACAUACAGAGGCAUACCGUCAUACAGACACAUACAUACAUACAGAAACAUACAUACAAAGACAUCCAGGCACAUACAUACAUACAGACACAUACAUACAGGCAUACAAAGACAUGCAUGCAUACAGAGACAUACUGCCAUACAGACACAUACAUAUAUACAGGCAUACAGAGACAUACAGAUACACAUACAUACAUACAGACAUACAGGCAUACAUACAGAGACAUACAGGCAUACAGAAACAUACAUACAUACAAGACAUACAGGCAUACAGACACAUACAAACAUUCAUACAUAGAGAGGCAAACCGUCAUACAGACAUACAUACAUAAACAUACAUACAAAGACAUACAGGCAUACAGAGACACACAGACACAUACGUACAUACAGAGACAUAAAGGCAUACAGUUACACACAUGCAUACAGAGACAUAUAUACAGACAUUCAGAGACAAACAAACAUUUAGUUACAUACAUGCAUGCAUACAGAUACAUGCAUGCAUACAGAGACAUACAUACAUAGAGAUAGAUACAUACAUACAGAGACAUACAUACACAGACAUACAGACAUACACACAUACAGAGACAUACAUACAUACAGAGACAUACAUACAGACAGAGACAUACAGAGACAUACAUACAUACAUACAUACAUAGAGACAUACAUAGAGACAUACAUAGAGACAUACAGACACACAUUCAUACAGACAUACAUACAGAGACAUACAUACACAGACAUAUAUAAUUACAUACUUACAUCUGUUAAAUCUUGUCCCCUGGGUGCAUGCUGUCCGGCUCUGUGGAGUCCAGUCCUGCAACCCAGCCCCAUCACAGGGCGCCAGCCGCGCUGUGUGGGACACAGGGAGCAGGG